rnacentral:misc_RNA from 1 species
GAAAUGCGAUAAGUAGUGUGAAUUGCAGAAUUCAGUGAAUCAUCGAUUCUUUGAACGCACAUUGCGCCCCUUGGUAUUCCAUGGGGCAUGCCUGUUCGAGCGUCAUUUGUACCCUCAAGCUCUGCUUGGUGUUGGGUGUUUGUCCCCGUCUCCGCGCGUGGACUCGCCCCAAAGUGAUUGGCAGCCGGCGUACUGGUCCCGGAGCGCAGCACAUGUCGCGCAAACGAGUGCCUUGGUACGGCGGCGUCCAUAAGCCCCUCUCUCACGCUCUUGACCUCGGAUCAGGUAGGGAUACCCGCUGAACUUAAGC